UGGGGCGUGAGGAGCUUAACCGCCUUCAUGUUUUGCAUAUUCGUGCUCUUGGGUGUACUUGCUCGUAUGGUUGGUUAACAUCAAUUUUGGUGGUCAUAAAAUGACUGGAGGAAUGUAGCUUCGAUCUCGUAUUGAAGUGUUAUAGCCUUCGGUAGAUGUGAUGAUCGAGAUUGAGGAUUGCAACGGAUACCCUUCGGGGCUACCUGUCUGGUCUCUGAUCGUUGCUCUGGUGCCGAAAGCUUGCUUACGGUUGUCAAAGUCGAUGGUCAAAAGGUUAGAACGGGUUAAA
rnacentral:rRNA from 1 species